rfam:Gossypium hirsutum cultivar TM-1 chromosome 4, whole genome shotgun sequence
GGCGACAUGGCCGAGCGAUAAGGUGGGGGACUGCAAAUCCCUUAUUCUCCAGUUCAAAUCCGGGUGUUGCUU